AAACCGUGGUUAGGGCAAUCCCUAGUGUACUCCUUGAAACGUUCCAAUGCUUUAAAGAAUGACUUCGUGGCUCCUUCGUUUGAAACUCGAGACU
rfam:Arabis alpina cultivar Pajares chromosome 6, whole genome shotgun sequence.